GAUGAACGCUGGCGGCGUGCCUAAUACAUGCAAGUCGAGCGAACGGACGAGAAGCUUGCUUCUCUGAUGUUAGCGGCGGACGGGUGAGUAACACGUGGAUAACCUACCUAUAAGACUGGGAUAACUUCAGGAAACCGAAGCUAAUACCGGAUAAUAUUUUGAACCGCAUGGUUCAAAAGUGAAAGACGGUCUUGCUGUCACUUAUAGAUGGAUCCGCGCUGCAUUAGCUAGUUGGUAAGGUAACGGCUUACCAAGGCAACGAUGCAUAGCCGACCUGAGAGGGUGAUCGGCCACACUGGAACUGAGACACGGUCCAGACUCCUACGGGAGGCAGCAGUAGGGAAUCUUCCGCAAUGGGCGAAAGCCUGACGGAGCAACGCCGCGUGAGUGAUGAAGGUCUUCGGAUCGUAAAACUCUGUUAUUAGGGAAGAACAUAUGUGUAAGUAACUGUGCACAUCUUGACGGUACCUAAUCAGAAAGCCACGGCUAACUACGUG
rnacentral:rRNA from 1 species